rnacentral:rRNA from 1 species
AGAGGAUGAGCAGCCACACUGGGACUGAGACACGGCCCAGACUCCUACGGGAGGCAGCAGUGGGGAAUUUUCCGCAAUGGGCGAAAGCCUGACGGAGCAACGCCGCGUGAGGGAGGUAAGGUCUUUGGAUUGUAAACCUCUUUUCUCAAGGAAGAAGUUCCUGACGGUACUUGAGGAAAUCAGCCUCGGCUAACUCCGUGCCAGCAGCCGCGGUAAUACGGGGGAGGCAAGCGUUAUCCGGAAUUAUUGGGCGUAAAGCGUCCGCAGGUGGUCAGCCAAGUCUGCCGUCAAAUCAGGUUGCUUAACGACCUAAAGGG